rnacentral:rRNA from 1 species
AGAGUUUGAUCAUGGCUCAGAACGAACGCUGGCGGCGUGGAUAAGACAUGCAAGUCGAGCGAUCGUUAACGGGUAGCAAUAUUCGUUAGCGGGAGCGGCGCAAGGGUGCGUAACACGUGGGUAAUCUGCCGUGAAGUUUGGGAUAAUCCCGCGAAAGCGGGACUAAUACCGGAUGUGACCAUUGGGAGGCAUCUUCUGAUGGUUAAAGUUGGGGACCGCAAGGCCUGACGCUUCAUGAUGAACCCGCGGCCUAUCAGCUAGUUGGUGAGGUAACGGCUCACCAAGGCUAAGACGGGUAGCUGGUCUGAGAGGACGACCAGCCACACUGGAACUGAGACACGGUCCAGACACCUACGGGUGGCAGCAGUCGAGAAUUUUUCACAAUGGGCGCAAGCCUGAUGGAGCGACGCCGCGUGGGGGAUGAAUGGCUUCGGCCCGUAAACCCCUGUCAUUUGCGAUCAAACCUUAUUAUUUAAAAGAUGAUAAGUUGAUAGUAGCGAAAGAGGAAGGGACGGCUAACUCUGUGCCAGCAGCCGCGGUAAUACAGAGGUCCCAAGCGUUGUUCGGAUUCACUGGGCGUAAAGGGUGCGUAGGUGGUGGGGUAAGUCGGAUGUGAAAGCUCGGAGCUCAACUCCGAAAUGGCAUUGGAAACUACCCUGCUAGAGGAUUGGAGGGGGGACUGGAAUACUUGGUGUAGCAGUGAAAUGCGUAGAUAUCAAGUGGAACACCAGUGGCGAAGGCGAGUCCCUGGACAAUACCUGACACUGAGGCACGAAAGCUAGGGGAGCAAACAGGAUUAGAUACCCUAGUAGUCC